GUACAAUUAACAUCUCAAGUGUGUACUCACAAGGGUUGCUAAAUACUCUGACACAGGCACUGCAGAGUUCUGGAGUAGAUUUGUCGCAGGCCAGCGUCUCAGUGCAAAUUGAGCUUGGAAAGCGAGGAAAUAGAAGACCAAUUAUUCCAGCAUCCAUUGUUAAGGAUAAUGAGGUUCCCUCAAGCAACCAAGGGACAAUACGGCCAAGAGUAUCAAGCGGAGAGGAAUCCCAUCAAGCCUCAAAGAAGAUCAAGACAAG
rnacentral:misc_RNA from 1 species